GGAACAGCUCAGGCUGUGCCAGUCAGUUUUCUGUCACCUGACACAAGCUGGGGUCAUGAGGAAGGACCCUCACUUGAGAAAACGCCUCCAUCAGAUUGGCAUAUAGUCAACUCUGUGCACCAUUUUCUUGAUUAAUGACUUGUAUGGGAGAGCCCAGACUACUGUGAAUGGUGCCAUCCCCGAUUACGUGGUCCUGGAUUGUAUACAAAAGCAGGCUGAGCAAGCCGAGACAAGCAAGCUGGCAGUGUGGGAAGACACAAGACAAUGAGUCAGCAGAACUCUG
rnacentral:lncRNA from 1 species